AUGGGCUGUUGUCUUAGCGAAGAGGUAAAGGAACAGAAAAGAAUCAAUCAAGAAAUUGAGAGACAACUUCGUAAAGACAAACGUGAUGCUAGGAGAGAAUUAAAACUACUUUUAUUAGGAACGGGAGAAUCCGGUAAGAGUACAUUUAUUAAACAAAUGCGGAUCAUCCAUGGUACAGGCUACUCAGAUGAGGACAAGAAAAGCUUUAUUAAGCUGGUAUACCAAAAUAUCAUGAUGGCAAUGCUGAGUAUGAUCAAAGCCAUGGAAAUGUUGAAGAUCUCCUAUAAAGACCAGAAUAAUAUAGAAAAUGCUGAACUAGUUCAUUCUGUAGAUUAUGAAACAGUCACGACAUUUGGUAGUCCCUAUGUAGAAGCAAUCAAGUCGUUAUGGGCAGACCCUGGAAUCCAGGAAUGCUAUGACAGACGGAGGGAAUAUCAACUUACAGAUUCAGCUAAAUAUUACCUAAGUGACAUUGACAGAAUAGCAGCACCAGGCUAUCUUCCUACUCUGCAAGACAUUCUUAGGGUUCGAGUCCCUACAACAGGCAUUAUUGAGUACCCAUUUGAUCUUGACUCCAUUAUUUUUAGAAUGGUUGAUGUCGGUGGUCAAAGAUCUGAAAGAAGAAAAUGGAUUCAUUGCUUUGAAAACGUCACCUCUAUUAUCUUCCUGGUCGCCUUAAGUGAAUAUGAUCAAAUUCUUUUUGAGUCGGAUAAUGAGAAUCGAAUGGAAGAAAGUAAAGCACUUUUCAAGACAAUUAUAACAUAUCCCUGGUUUCAAAAUUCAUCAGUCAUCCUCUUUCUCAACAAGAAAGAUCUAUUGGAAGAAAAAAUCAUGUACUCACAUCUUAUUGACUAUUUUCCUGAAUUUGAUGGCCCCAAGCAGGACCAUAUUGCAGCCCGUGAAUUCAUUCUCCAGAUGUACUUAGAUCAAAGUCCACACCCAGAUCAUAUGGUGUAUUCACACUUCACUUGUGCCACAGAUACUGAAAACAUACGGUUUGUAUUUGCUGCCGUAAAAGACACCAUCUUGCAGUUAAAUCUGAAGGAGUACAACCUGGUUUAAGGAAGGAACUACCUAGUAAGAGGCCCAUCUCUCGUAUCCUGCAUUUAUAAACUGCUGUUUUCUGGGCUGUUUCUGUUAAGAUCUGUAAAUAUCAAGUGUGAAGUUAUAUAUGUGACAUUUGGGGGAGUUCAGAUGGGUACGAUGUUGGAACUGCUAAAAUACUUAUUUUGUAUUGAUUAAUUCCUGGAUACUGAAACUACUGUGAAAGUAUCAACAUGAAGAUAUAAGGCUAUUUGAAUUGCAUAUGAUCAGACUGCUAUUACAAUUUUUAUAAAUUUCCAUACAUCUUGUGUAAAAAUGUAGCUUUUUGUUCUGUUUAUGAAUGAAGAAUUGUAAUCGUGUACUACUACAUUCAAGUAUUAUUGUUUUAAAAAUUUAAUAUUUCUGUUAAUGAUGUGAGAAAGGGAGAGGAAAUGUAAAAAAAGUAAAAACUGUCUUGACAGUUACCAUUGAAUAAGGUUUUAUUAGAUGUUCAAGCUAUAAAUUAUAAAUAUAUAAACUAUACAUUAUUAUUGAUUAAAAAAAGUUUUUGUGUUGUUGAAAUAUACUACGAGAGAAUGUAAGACUAACAAAAAGUAAACAUUAGAGGAAAACUAAUGCUUACAUUGUUUGCACAAAGGAUGGGGUUUUGUAAUAGUAUAUUUUUAGUUUUGAACUUCUGACAUUCAAACAUUGGAAACUUUUUAUAUGCAUUUAGAAUGAGUAACUUACUAAUGAACUGUUUUCUGUGUAAAACAGUAAUUUCAGUAUCCAUUCAUUAUGAUAGUAGUUCAGUGUAUAAUCUUUGUGACUUUGUAAAGUAUGCAAACUUCAGUUGUGUUUUCUGUUUCAAACCAUCAAGUUUUUCAUUGUUUAGUCUAAUGAACUAAUAACGUAUGCAAGCUUCACUGUUCAUAUUUUCUGAAUAGUCAUUUCAGUGACAAGUCGUUUAUUAUGAUAUAUUUGUGGUAACCCUGUAUGCAAGCUCCUCCUUUCUUCUUAGCUACGUAAAAUAAUCUUUUCAGUAACUGCUCAAUCCUAGUAAAUUUGUAAUAACUGAAAUUGUGCAAUCUGUAAAGUUAAUAAGAUGUGUCGUGUUUGAAGUAUUUUUAGACAGUUUAAUGAAAGUAAUUUUUAAUGUAAUUGUCGUGUUGCACAAUUUGAAUGUGAUAAAAGUUAAUAAUGAAGGAGUACUAGAUAAAUGUUUUAUUGCUCUUGCUACACACAAGUCUCAUACAAAGAAGUGUAACUUUUAAAAUAAUGAAAAAUUCUAAAUGCUUUAACAUGUUAUCAUUUGGAAAUGAGAUGCACUCUGAAAUCAUUAUUUUGUUUUAUUUCCUUUCAAACUAAAAUAAAUAGAAUGUGUUUGUUUGUAUUAAAACUUUAAGCUUUGAAUACUCAUCUAAAAUUUAUAAAU
rnacentral:misc_RNA from 1 species